UUUUUUGUUUUUGUUAGCUUACCACACUUUUUGUUAAGGGUCUUUUCCCCAGCACAGUUUAUAUACGCCAUUUGCAAGCAAAAGCUCUUAUAAUAAUUACUAUCACAAUGGAUGUCAAUAUACAAAAAUGACCAGUAACUUGGUCUAAGGCAAUAAACUAUGAACACCAUAGAACUUCAGUAACCUCCUAGUGCCACAUAGCCUAUGAUUAUUUUCAGUUUACUGUUCUUGAGAAAUUGCCUGCGAACGUCUUUGGCUUAUAUGAAAAGGACUGAAGCCAUUGGUCGUCAUCUUACCCAGUUCAGUUUGAUAGUAGGAACUGGCUAUAUCUAUCCUUCCUUUUCCUGCAUCGAACCAGCACCUACUUAGACUCUCACUGCUGACAUGCAAGACUUUUCUGAGACUGGAUUGCCUAGGAGGCCCAAUGAAUAAAACUAUUUCAAGAGCAAAAAGAGACGUAUCAACCAGAACCGCAAAUCAAGAGUGUCUGACCAUGCAAUACAGAUUAAAGUUAGAACUGAGAAGAAGGGAAGGGAAUGAACAGGCAAGAUUACUGGAUUGAUUUCUCAAGUGUGGAAAUUCUCCAGUCCCCUAAGCUGGGGGACAGAACUGGGCACAAGUCCUGAAUACAGAGGAACAAUCACUUCCUUCAACCUGCUGGUUACGCUGCUUCCCAGCAUAUGGCAAACCUUCAGUGUUACAAGGGCAGUAACAAAAUUCAAACCUUUGUUAUCUGUGAACUGUGAUUCAUAGUCAUUUAUCUAGAUAUGGAAAAAAUGGUAAGGUAAGUAACAGCAGCUUCACUCUGUUUCAUUUAUCAAGCACACAAUUUUAGUUAGCAGUGGGAAUCAACCACAUAAUUUUUACUGCAGAAGUCCAUAUUUUAUUGUAGUAACCCACUGUUAAAUAUUGAAAUAUCUAUUGUUAACAGGUAGUUCAUAAUUUUGUUUUAUUAUGAUAAAGUGAGCUGUUCGUAUUGUGUGAAAAAAUCUAGCUCCAAAUAUAAGUCUUCUAUGAACAGUGAGAAUAUAAAACCUCAACUACAGUUACUGCAUGUAACAGUAAGAGCUUCGGAAUGCUAUUUGAAAAUACCACUGUUUAAAAAAAAGUAAACAAGCACCAACAGUCUGAGACAAAGUUAGCAAUAGAAAUACUAUUUUUGCAGUAUAUUUAGUAGUAACAAUUAUUGCGGAUUUGAAUUAAAAUAUACUUUAGGAUAGGCAUUAAUUGAGCACAUAGGCAACAUGCACUGACGUUCUUUCCUGUCAGCUUUGGACUAUCUAUGCAUUUUAACAUUUAACUUCACUGCAUGCAAAAUCCAGAAAAGAAAAGUGUGCAUAAAAAUAUACAGGACAUUAUUUAUUUAUAUGUAAAACCUUUAUUCUAUUUUGUUAUUUUAGAUUAAAUCUCGUUUCAAUUCUAUUCUCUCAGGGAAGCACUAACAGUUUGAGCUCAGCGUGAAAGCCAUCAAACACUUGAGCUGAAAUUUAGAUUGGGCAAUUUUGCCUGGUGAAGUAGAAAAGGACAUGUGGAAUGGCAGAGAACAGAAUGGCUUAUGGAAAGGCAGAUGUUUUAAUAACUUGUUGUCUAGUGGGAGCUUCAAAUAUUUAAAUUUAAACACUGCAAUAUAUUAAAGGGCGUUGCUGUCAGGGAGGGUAUAUUCCUUUACCAUACGCAUCAGUGUAAAUGUGCAUAUUUAAUGGGCGUGCAGACUUUAAUACAGCAUUUAUUUUACAAUUGAAAUUAGAAUUAAUUGGAAGGUGUUAAAAAAUAUUACCCCAGGCUGGAAAAUCUGUCUCAGAUCUGCAUUGCACAAUACAGCAGGCCAAAGCCUGGGGAAUUUUCGGUCUAGAGUUUUAACUUGGACCUGUCUGCCUGUGUGAGUGGACUGAUUAGAUACUUGAGAUCUCCUGCCUACUAAGAUCCUUUUUGUUUCAACGUAUCAAUCUCAUGUUAAUUCACACUGGGUUUUAAAGUAUAUUUAUCCAUAAGCACAUUGCUGGAAGUAUGCAAUGAAUUUACCUUGGGUAAGGUCCGGAGAGAAGCUAGAAACCUCCUAAGUUAAUUUCUUUACAGAACAAAUCUCUCUGAAUGUCUGGAAAUAGUGAUUUAACUCUAAUUCACUCUGGCUGCAUAAUUUACAAUCUGGCAGAAUUAAGAUGACUAGGGAAGAAAAAUUUUAUUAAUAAACUAGCUUCCCAUAUGUUCAUGAACAACUGGGUCCUAUUAAAGAACAAUGAAGGCCUUGUCACUUGACUUUUGCAGAUAUGACACCACUAUUUAUAUACUGUAUGGUGACAGAGAACUCCUAAUUGAAGUCACCUUUCACAUUUGUCAUCUCAUAUGCUGUCCCUGUUUUCUAGAAAUAUGACACUACUUUUUACUUAUGGAAGUGAAAACAUAUUAGGUAUACCAAGCAGAAACAGGAAAUAAAUGCUGUUAUAAAAACGGCUUCAUUUACAGUUUAUCAGAUAUGUGUAUGCAUUAGAUGAAAAGACAGAUGGAAAUGUUUCUACAGAUAGGGUGACAAAUGAAAUUUGGGGUAAUAUUUUAUGAAAGGUAAUGGCUUAUAGAGUAUACUAGAGUGAUCUGAAAGGUCAUUAGUUUAACUAUAGAUUUGACUUUGUAAUAGUAUUUACUUGAUAGCAAUUACUGGACAGAUGUAAUAAAAAUCUUCAUAAAGGACAACCAAA